rnacentral:tRNA from 1 species
UAGCUCAGUUGGUAGAGCAUGGUGUUUGCAACGCCAGGGUUGUGGGAUCGAUUCCCAC